AUUCGAUAGAGAAAAAUAGUGAAACCAGAGCCAAAUAUGGCAGAGAACAAUACACAGAAUUGGCAUAUGAAGUACUUCCAGAAUAUAUAUAUAUAGAUUUUGAAUUGAUAAACAAAUCAAGACUUAAUCCUUCAUAGGUCAAUGCUCAUUUAUAGACAUUUUUCUAGACAUUAUAGAAAAUCCAAAAAUAGGGACCAAAAUUAGCAUUUUAAACCAAUACUGCUGGAAUUUCAUAACUCAAACUAGUAAUCAAGUUAUGUAAACAUCAGUUGAAAAAAAAAGGCCUAACAUUUAAACUAGAAAACAUUUGUUAAAUUAAACAGAACUGUUAAACGUGACACUUAAAGUCAGUGAAAUGAUCCCAAUUAAAAUGGAUAAAAUGGGAACAACAGCUCAUACAUGUCACAUUUACACCCUAGCUGUAUGUCAAGACAACAACCUGAAUUACAGGUUGAGAGUGAGCGCUGAACCAGUUGUCUAUUGAAGAAUACAGCGGUCAAAAUUCAAAAGCAAGCGAUCGCCGAACCCGUUAUCUAUUGAAGAAUACUGCAAUGAAAAUCCAUAUGCAAGUGAAUGACAAGCCAGUUGCCUAUCGAAGAUUAUUAAGGUCAAAACUCAAACGCAAGCGAUCGCCAAACCAGUUGUGCACUGAAGAAUACUGCGAUGAAAAUCCAAAUGCAAGUACACGACAAAUCCGUUGCCUAUUGAAGAUUAAUAAGGUCAAAAUUCAAACGGAAGUGAUCGCCAAAUCCAUUGAAGAAUACUGCGUUCAAAAUUCAAACAAGCGAUCGGUGAACCAGUUGCUAUUAAAGAAUAGCGUGGUCAAAAUUCAUACGCAAGCGAACACCGAACAUGCAGUCUAUUGCAGAAUAAUGCAGUGAAUAUCCAAAUGCAAGUGUAUGACAAAUCCAUUGCCUAUUGAAGAUUAAUAAGGUCAAAAUUCAAACGCAAGCGAUCGCCGAACAUGCAGUCCAUUGCAGAAUAUUGCAGUGAAAAUUUAAAUGCAAACGAUUGCUGAACCCGUUGUCUAUUGAAGAAUACUGUGGUCAAAAUGUAAACGUUAAGCAACCGCCGAACCCGAUGUCUAUUGAAGAAUACUGUGGUCAAAAUUCAAACAAGCAAUCGGUGAACCAGUUGCUAUUAAAGAAUAGUGUGGUCAAAAUUCAUACGCAAGCGAUCGCCGAACAUGCAGUCCAUUGCAGAAUAUUGCAGUGAAAAUUUAAAUGCAAACGAUUGCUGAACCCGUUGUCUAUUGAAGAAUACUGUGGUCAAAAUGUAAACGUUAAGCAACCGCCGAACCCGAUGUCUAUUGAAGAAUACUGCAGUGAAAAUCCAAAUGCACGACAAAUCCACUACCAAUUUAUGAUUAUUAAGGUCAAAAUUCUAAAGCAAGCGAUCGCUGAACCCGUUGUCUAUUGAAGAAUACUGCAGUGAAAAUCCAAAUGCACGAUAAAUCCACUACCAAUUUAUGAUUAAUAAGGUCAAAAUUCUAAAGCAAGUGAUCGCUGAACCCGUUGUCUAUUGAAGAAUACUGCGAUGAAAAUCCAUACACAAGUGUAUGACAAAUCCGUUGUCUAUUGAAGAAUAUUGUGGUCAAAAUUAAUUGCAGUCUAUUGCAGAAUAUUGCAGUGAAAAUUUAAAUGCAAGCAAUCGCUGAACCCGUUGUCUAUUGAAGAAUACUGUGGUCAAAAUUUAAACGUUAAGCGACCGCCGAACCCGAUGUCUAUUGAAGAAUACUGCAGUGAAAAUCCAAAUGCACGACAAAUCCACUACCAAUUUAUGAUUAAUAAGGUCAAAAUUCAAACGCAAGCGAUCGCUGAACCCGUUGUCUAUUGAAGAAUACUGUGGUCAAAAUUCAAACAAGCGAUCGGUGAACCAGUUGCUAUUAAAGAAUAGUGUGGUCAAAAUUCAUACGCAAGCGAACACCGAACAUGCAGUCUAUUGCAGAAUAUUGCAGUGAAAAUUUAAAUGCAAACGAUUGCUGAACCCGUUGUCUAUUGAAGAAUACUGUGGUCAAAAUUUAAACGUUAAGCGACCGCCGAACCCGAUGUCUAUUGAAGAAUACUGCAGUGAAAAUCCAAAUGCACGACAAAUCCACUACCAAUUUAUGAUUAAUAAGGUCAAAAUUCUAAAGCAAGCGAUCGCUGAACCAGUUGUCUAUUGAAGAAUACUGCGGUGAAAAUCCAUACGCAAGUGAACAAGUCUGUUGCCUAUCGAAGAUUAAGGUCAAAAUUCAAACGCAAGCGAUCGCUGAACCCGUCGUCUAUUAAAGAAUACUGCAAUGAAAAUCCAAACGCAAGUGUAUGACAAGUCCGUUGUCUAUUGAAGAAUACUGUGGUCAAAAUUCAAACAAGCGAUCGGUGAACCAGUUGCUAUUAAAGAAUAGUGUGGUCAAAAUUCAUACGCAAGCGAACACCGAACAUGCAGUCUAUUGCAGAAUAAUGCAGUGAAUAUCCAAACGCAAGUGUAUGACAAAUCCGUUGCCUAUUUAAGAUUAAUAAGGUCAAAAUUCAAACGCAAGCGAUCGCCGAACAUGCAGUCCAUUGCAGAAUAUUGCAGUGAAAAUUUAAAUGCAAACGAUUGCUGACCCCGUUGUCUAUUGAAGAAUACCGUGGUCAAAAUGUAAACGUUAAGCGACCGCCGAACCCGAUGUCUAUUGAAGAAUACUGCAGUGAAAAUCCAAAUGCACGACAAAUCCACUACCAAUUUAUGAUUAAUAAGGUCAAAAUUCUAAAGCAAGUAAUCGCGAAACCUGUUGUCUAUUGAAGAACACUGCAGUCAAAAUUUAAACGCAAGCGAUUGCCGAACCAGUUGUCUAUUAAAGAAUACUGCGGUGAAAAUCCAUAUGCAAGUGAACGACAAAUCCGUUGCCUAUUGAAGAUUAUUAAGGUCAAAAUUCAAAAGCAAGCGAUCGCUGAACCCGUUGUCUAUUGAAGAAUACUGCGGUGAAAAUCCAUAUGCAAGUGAACGACAAAUCCGUUGCCUAUUGAAGAUUAUUAAG